UGGGCAAGGAGACAUUAUGCGAUUUCCCUAUCCCUCACAUAACAGAAUAUUACAGACAGUUGUCUAGACUGCGACAUUUCCAAAAGGAAUAGCUGUUGAUUCAGCUAAUGAUCAUAUCUACUGGGUUGAUGAUUUCAGAUACAAACUCUCAAGAUGCAAUUUAGAUGGAUCUAAUAUGACUGUUAUAUCAACUUUGAUAUAUCCUUGGGUGAUACGACUUGAUGUUACGAGCAGAUGGAUGUAUAUAAGUGAAAGCUAUUCAGGAAUAUCGAAAUCUAGAUUCAAUUUAGCUGAAAAGCAGACAAUCGUUAAUUUUACUUCGACACCUGUUUUGUGCAUGGAUAUAGGUACGUUGUCACUUGUAAUUCACGAUGGAAUCAUAUUAACAUGUUAUAAUUUGAAUUUGUUUUAAUUAUAAUAUUCUUUUUUUGUAUAUUCAUCUAUGAUCAAUCGAUAUGUAUACUUAUCUGUAUAUUUUGAAUGAAAAUAGGCACCAACAACGGACAUACAAGCCUUCAUAUAAAUGUAUGCCAAUUUUAAAGGCAUUUAAAGAGAUAUAAGGCAAAGAUAUACAAGAAAGACAUACUAGCAGUUCUUCCAACAAAAACCCGUCCGUCUAUCCGGUGUUUUAUCCGUUUAUAAAGCUCUUGAUUUUUUGUUAAUAAGAUUGAGAUUUUAGAAGAUUUUUGCCUCGAUUCUGGUGAAAAAUAAAAUGGUACCAGUAAUUUAACUAAUUUUGUAAGGAUAUAUCUUUAUUAACAGAUCGGCAACACGGCCAAAGAAAAAUCAAAACAAUGUCUCAGGAUUUCUGCGAAAGAAAUAGCAUGUCUACUUCAAUGGGUUAUACAAAGAUAAGUUUCAAAUUAUUUCCAAAUAAUAAUCAGUCUAAACUGUGAUUUAUCUAAACCAUACCGUGGUCAAGUUAUAUUCUGCAAAUGAUAGCAUAUAUAUAUAUAUAAAUACAAUAUUAUAACGUACUGCUGUUUAAAAAAAAAAAAAAAAAAAAAAAAACGGUCGUCAGAUACACAGCACAUACACAUAAUACCAAUAGUUCUGGAAUCUGAAAACAUCUUAUAGUUAGAAGGAAUACACAGUGUUGAUUUCUUGUGCAACUCUUCGUUAAGUUUCACAUUCACUCUAGCCAAGUGGUUGACGACAGGCCUCAUUUUGGCUGAUAUUUGUAUUAAUAUUUUUUCAAUUCAAUUAUAGGAGCUUCCAUUUCAGCCACUGUAGAUGCCUCAUGUUCUACUACAGACAUUUUGGCAAUAUUUAACUGCACAUCUGCUAAGAUUUUUACAUGUUCUAUUACAACAUGUACAAGGAGGUGUAUACUUACAUGUUUGCAGAUUUUUCUUUUGUUAUUUUCAGUGGAUAAUAAAUGUAGUUAUGUUUUAAUGAAUGUUUGCAUUUUU